rnacentral:lncRNA from 1 species
UUGUGUUCACUCUAGAGCCCUUCCAUUCUCAAAUCAUUAUGUUACGGCAUUAUCCGUGUGGAGAUAAUAUCCUCUUGGGCAAUCAGUCACUGGCUUGAGGCUUAUCGCUGUGUUUAAAGGGGUUCUGUGUUCUGUCACAGAGGCAGGAGGCCAUAAACACAUAUGAGCAUCUCCCUCACUGUCAAGGCUUUCUGAGUUGUAAUUGGCUGAGAGCUGCACUGUCAGCUGAUUGGCCGGGCUGAGGAUG